rnacentral:lncRNA from 1 species
UGUCUAGAGCGGGUUUGUUCUGAAUCAGCUUACGUGUCUGUCCACGAGGUCCCAGGCCGUCCGCAUCCAAAAUAUAUUAGAAAGCGAAGGAAAGUGCUUUUAAGUUUCCAGCAUCAGGAUCUGGUAAAGUUUCAUUUCAUCCUCAACAAGGAUGUUAAAACUCACCAGACACCGCGCGCUCUGGGCGCAGAGCUCCUCCCGGUCUAUCCUGCCUGCGGUGACCAAGCUGCCGCUUCGCGGGUUCAAAGAGAAAAGCUGCGUCCUACCUCUGGAGACGAUGCGGACUCCGCGCCCCGCCAGCUCCUGGGGUUCCAGACCCAGGUCCUUUGCUAUAUGACCCACAAAAGACCCUUCGUCUGUCUCUUCUGUCACGGAGUAGAGAAUUUGUCCUGCCCAGGCUUCCCACCAGGUCCCCAGGAAUAUGGAAAGGAGGACGAAUCCUUUGUAGUUCUCGCCCCUCUGCCGAGCCGCCAUUGUGGUCCUGAGCAGUCUCGGGACGUCCUCCUGAAUGCAGAUGUUUCUGCGUGGACUCCUCUGUAUUCGGAAGGGAGACCCAGAACUCAGCUGUACAGAGGCUUGACUAUGGCGCAGCUUGAAAGAGGGCUUGUCUGAAACUGCCGGAUUUUUUUUGUAUGUGCUGUAAACUCGGUGGUUCCUGUGGGAUUUCAUCACACCAUUUUCCCCUGGUUGGUGAACAGCGGCGCUCAGAGUCCUUACUAAGUUAUUGCAUCAUAUUGAAGCAAAAUAAACUGGUUUUACAGAAAAUAGUUUCACCCCUCAAAAAUAUCC